rnacentral:misc_RNA from 1 species
AAGUCGUAACAAGGUUUCCGUAGGUGAACCUGCGGAAGGAUCAUUAUUACGUAUCCAACGUAUCAAAACCAAAUUGUGAACAAGUGUCCCAUCUGGUGAGGGUAUCUGCGAGAGUUGUCUCGUGAUCGCAUAGUGGAGCAGGUUUUUCAGCAAUGAAAACUUGUGCGAGAGCUCUCGGUCCUAGUUCCUUUUUGGAGCUAGCUCAUUGGAUGUGGUUAUUUCCAAAUCUACUGUGCAAAACUUAUUAUUAACCCCUUGUAAAUCAAAUUGAACUGAACAUACACAUUGACCCUUUAAACGGGGAAGAUGUGGAUAACCGAAACUUAAGAACAACUCUUAACAACGGAUAUCUUGGUUCUC